rnacentral:lncRNA from 1 species
AUGCUGGGACCGCGUCUUCCAGAGUCUUUCAUCCCCCGGCUGGACCAUCGGCACUCAGGCUUGCUGGACCCUGGACAGCUGCUGGACUCAGCCUCUCCUGUAUGCAAGUCCACAGGAAGCCCUUUCCAGGGCCCGGGCCUGGGUGGGGUCCCCAUUCUGCCCGCCGUGGCUGGGUGCUGGUCGGGACCUGGGCACCCAUGUGUCCUUGCCUCUGUGGUGCUGCCCGUCUCCUGGUCGUCGCAGUCUUGCCUGACUGCAGCUCCUGCAACCCAGGGCAUCUUCCCCCCUGCCUUGUCCAUGCAGGCCCUCGAGGCAGAGGGAGGCGCCCCCAAAGCUCAGCCUGGGCCACAGGAGGCACCGGAGCCACCCCCAGGGGCCCCUCAGACACAGCCCAGAGCCUGCUGGCCCGGGAAGAGGCCCCCGACUCGCAUGGGUGGCUGCGCUCGCGGCUCCCAGGGGCCAGGCCUUGGACGCCCGGGAGCAGAUGGUCCUCCGGUUGCCCGGGAAGCACGUGUGGCUGAAGGAAGCACAUGCCAAGCUGGACUAGAUGGUGGCGGGAUCCCCACAGAGGAACCCCUGGAAGUGGAGAGCGGGCCGCCUGGGGCGCAGAGGACAGAGGCCUGUCAGCAGGAGGACAGCAGCAGCCCCCUGGCCGCCUCCCCAGCAGCUCCUGCAGCCCUGGAGGAGGAGGCAAGAAUGCUUGUGUACCUGGGCUCCGGGCCUGCAGCUGGGCUCCCCUUGGGGUCUGCAGGGUCCCCAGCGUCGUCCCCCAUGUCCUCAGCAGGCUCUGCGUGUGACUUGUCCUGCUCCUCCCUCCAGGAGUUUCAGAAAGCCACAGCCACCCUGGUCCAGCUUUCUGACGGCUCCCUCUCCCUGUCUGGCCCCGAGGCCGAGGGCAGCCGGGCCACAGAGCCCAGCUGGUCCGAGGAGCUGUCUGCUCACGAGGACUUUGCCCCACCCUUGUUUUGGGGGCUCCACCAGGGUGACCCUCAGCCGGGUGCUGUUCCUGGGGGUGCAGGGCCGGUGACCUGGCAGAGACCAGAAUGUGGCCAGGCUGGUGCCCUGCCUGGCUGUCCAGUGGAGGCAGCAGUGGCAGACGACUUAGUCCCAGAGCAGAGCUCCUCACAGGCCAGCUGCCCACUGCCUGCCCAAGAUGUUCGUUCUCCAAGGUCUGGGUCAGAGCUGUCAGAGGCCUCCAGCCAAAUUUGGGACGAGGACAUUGAAGAGAACCUGUCAGAACCUGGCCCGGGGGCUGAGCCCACCUCUGGCAGCUCCUCGCCUCCUGGCUUGUCCAGCUUGGAACACAGCAUGGCUGUACCUGCCUUGGGCCCCAGACAGGGACAGGAACCUUCUGGAACCAGCCGGAGCCUGAGCGGUGGGUCAGACACAGGGAGCACAGAGCAGGCGUCCCCUGAGGCGGCCUCUACCAGCGACCUGGACCUGUCACUGUCAUUUCCUUCAGGGACUUCUGCUUCUGAAGGGGCUGGCUGCCAGGAGCGGCCCCAGGCUGCUGGCCCAAGCCUGUGCUCUGAAAGGAGCCCUCCACAGGCCUCUUCAGGGCCUGAGCGAUCUGUCUUUCUGCACCCGGCUCAUCUCGGACCCCCUGCAUAAAAACCCACCCUGCACUCAGCCUUUGCGAGCUACAUCCCCAGUCGUCCUUGGAUUCCGUUCCCUGCACAGCUCUGACUGCCACUCGAUAGCCACAUAUGGAAAGUGACAGCCGGGCGCUGCUGGGGAACACGGGGGCACUGGCUCCAACGUACCUCCCACGCCCACACCUGGGUGUUUGGUUGCCGGGGCAGGGAGCUGGCGGAGCUCACGCCCCUUCCGGGUGGAGCUGGUCCUAUGCCCGGGAUUUCCUGCCCAAACCAAGGGCUCAGGAAGUCAGCCCUUCCCACGCCAGCACCUCCAGUGGCUUCGGAGACUCCAAGAAACGUACCCAGGUUCCCAUCAGUCUCCGAGGCCCUUCCUUUGCCCGCUCCAUGGCAACCACGCCUCUCAAACUGCUUCUCUGCACUUGUCCCCCGACCCAUGUCUCCCUUUGCCCCAAGCCGAGGCCCCUCCCGACGUCCAAGAACACAGCAGGCUGGGCUGGGGGGAAGCACAGGGUGUCCCACAGCGGCCCUCUGCCUGCUGCUUGACGCCACCCUCUGCUCAGUGGCCUGGGGGGGCUUCCCGCUCAUCCUGCCUGGCCUCCACCUCGGGGCCUUGCACUUGGGCUGCCCCUCACCUCUUCCUCUGCUCCCUUCUCUCCAGGACUGCGGGCUUUCACACCUUGUUGUAGGCCCAGAGGGACAGGCUUGCUUUCUCCUCGCCUUGUUUCCAGGCCUCGGCACAGGGCAGGAAAGCGGUGAGCGCAGGAGGGGCAGGGACAGAGCGCAGGGCUCCUCCGUGGGUCACCUCCCCCAGCACCUCACGCGAGCGCUUCCCUCAGCGAACGAAGGGCAUCCCUGGCCUCAGCAACAGGCCCCGUCAGCGAGGCCAAGGGCCCUGACCUGAGGGUCCUUUCUUUCUUGUUUUGGCCACAGCGUUGAACCCUGACGUGUGUAAAAUCAGGACCAGCAAUCAAAACACCAGGGACCCUGCGCACGAGAGCACAAGCCACAGGGCUGCGCCUCUGGUCUGUGGGAGACAAGGACCUUGCAGCUGGUUACAGGGAUUUCAGGCAAACUGAGAAGUGGACUAAGAACCUCCCAUUAAAUUUACAUUUCAGACUUAGGUGCCACCAGCUCGCUGUUUGUCCAGACUUCACAUCUAACCUAGUGUGUCGUUUUCCGUUUGCUAAACCUGGCGGUCAGGGCCCUGGAA